ACUUUGGUUCAAUCGCUUUCCCCCACCAUCGUGUUCUUAUGUGAGACAAGGCAAACUGCAAGUAGGAUGAAGAUAUAUUGGUCAAGGCUUGGUCUGCGAGGCUUUGAGGGUGUGGAUAGCAAUGGCAAUAGUGGCGGCCUAGCCUUGUAUUGGCACGAAAACUUAACAGUGGAUGUGGUAUUCUCGAAUGAUCGUUGUAUGGAUGCACACAUUAAGGCGUGCCCGGAUAACCCCCCUAGGGGCUAA
rnacentral:rRNA from 1 species